GGUGGAUCGUCACCGAGAGCAGUAAUCGCAUCGACUGCAGAGAUAGCUGGUGCAUCUUCCCAUCUUGUGAAACUAGAGACUACCACUAGUACAUUCCAACCCUGCCACGGUGAUACCCCAACACUACACAAGUCAUAUCUGUACGAGAAAUUGAAAAAAAAAGACGUACGUCCCACCCACUUGCGGUUGACGCUAAUACCGGACGUACCAGCGUAUUAUCAAUAUUUUACCGUAGAGCUAAAAAAUAGCCGAAAAACGGCCAUGUUCAAAAAUACGUACCGGGGCCAAAGAAAAUUGUAGAGAAUUUUUCAAAAAAGCAAAAUGAAGUGUGGUAGAGACGAUGAGGUAUGCUGCUACAGCUCAAAUGCAGCGAUAUUCGUGAAAUGGAAAACAUGGGACUGGGUGAUCAAUCUUGAGUGCACAGCACGGAGUUGCUUUGUGAUGUAAGGGAAUCCAGACCAGACUGUUCAGCCAUAUGGAAGCGAAUGAUAGAAGACACUCGGACGCUGGUAACCGGUUCAGA